CAUAUACUCUCUCCGCCUGAAAAUACUUGUCAUCAAAAUGGACAAAAAGAGAUGCAUCUAGAACUAAAAUAUAUCUAAAUACAUCCUCUUUUAUUUAUUUUAAUAACAAAUAUUUCCAGACAGAGGAAGUAUAUC
rfam:Triticum aestivum genome assembly, contig: Triticum_aestivum_CS42_TGACv1_scaffold_580332_7BL